CACGAAGGGCAAUGCGGUUGGCUGCAAAGCCAGGGGUAAGCGAUUCUCUCACAAACACAUCCUGAAAACAGACUGUUGCGCCCUCUCUGACAUGUUUUAUAAGGCCUCCUGCACAGAAAGCACACAUAACCACAGAAUUCCUUACCAGGAGCAUUCCGUGGGGUUAAGGGCAUGCCUCGUAGGUAUCGCCUCCUGAUCGAAUCUUCUGCUUGUCUUAGAACACUCCGGUGGCAGCAGAAAGGGGUGCUUGGUUUGUCGGAGGAGAGCAGUGACAGCAGUCGUGGAUACAAGAAAAGCUACUAUAUAUUUCAGAUGCUGCCAAUUCAAAACUUGAAGGGGAGACCAGAGAAUGCCUUUGACAGGAAGGCAGCUGACCCGCCAGCUCUGUGGCCUUCCAGUGUUUUGGGAGCAAGAGAUGUCAUUAGACCCGCCGUCAGCCCCGUGGCAAGUGUCCGGCUUCGGCCAGUGCCCGUCACCCCUAGACAAAAUCCGUCCACGGUAGCUCCUCGCUGGUUGGGGAGCAGAGCUCUGAGAGGCCCUGUCCCCACACCUCUCACCCAGGCCAGGAUACCACAGACAAAGGGACUGGCCUCUGUACCUAGAAACCGGGGGACCCACUUCGCUGUGUCAGCCAGGUUUCCUCCGACACCCCGAGUUCUGACGACUGCGGGUCUCCCCACAAACGGAGCCCUUCACGGCACCAGUGUCCCCACCUCUCCCACAACUAAGGAGCCCCGAGGAGAUAUGUAAGCCGAUGUGGCAGUGCCCCCUUCUCUUGGCAGGGGACCCACGUCUGUCUGUGUUGCUGUCUGGGUGCGGAGAGCAACGUUUGGGAGAAGUGUUCACACUCUGGGGGCCCAGGCAAUCACCCCUGUGAUGUACCCUGGGAACCCGGCUCUAUUACGGGAUUCACCUCAAUCACCAACUCCUCUAGACGUGAAAUUCUCAAGAAGGAAGCUUCACGGCCCCCGAGAAAGUGAUUUUGUCACGUGCUCUGUGACUCUGAGGCAAUUCCUCACUCUUACCGAAAAAUCAAAUGGUGGGGUGGCUCAGUCGGUUGGGCGUCCGACUUUGGCUCAGGUCAUGAUCUCACGGUCUGUGAGUUCCAGCCCCGUCGGGCUCUGUGCUGAUGGCUCAGAGCCUGGAGCCUGUUUCAGAUUCUGUGUCUCCCUCUCUCUCUGACCCUCUCCCGUUCAUGCUCUGUCUCUGUCUCAAAAAUAAAUAAACGUUAAAAAAAAAAAAAAGAAAAAUC
rnacentral:lncRNA from 1 species